GUUUGUAGCUCAGUGGUACAGCGCUUGCCUAACAGGUGCAAGGCCCUGGGUUUGAUCCUCAGCACCACA
rnacentral:tRNA from 1 species